UCGAGGAUACUAUUCAGAAUCAUUUGUUUAGUUAAUCAACAUCGCCACCAUGCAGCAAUUGCAUUCUCAUGAGGCUAGAAUGACGAGUAAUGACAGCAAGCCCAGUGGAAGUCGAGAUGCUUGCAUCUCAUUGAUGACAGCUACUCUCUAGGAGAGUAAGGCUUCGCUGUGUUCCGACUAGCC